rnacentral:lncRNA from 1 species
UUGUUCCAUGUUUUAUUAACUUACCAUAAGAAAAACAUAUUCUGUUUGGUAAGCCAUUAAAUUCUUAGCAAAUAAGUACUUAACAAUAAAAUAUCUAUCUUCUCUACUUACUUAAAAAGAACGUAAGGUUCUCAUUUCACCUCUUUUUCGUUCAACUUUCCUUAUAUACGUCCCACUCUUUCCUUCUCCUCUUUGAUUUUUUCCUCCCAUCUCUGAUUUUUCUCCUAUCCAUCAUCCAUAAAAUAGAAUCAAUUGUCUCAUGUUUUAUUAACUUAUCAUAAUAAAAACAUAUUAUGUUUGGUAAGUCAUUAAAUUCUUAGCAAAUAAGUGCUUAACAACAAAAUGGCAGGUAAAUCAUGACGAUUGCAUAAAAAAAUUCCUAGUAACUAGGCCAAAGAUGAUUGACUUCAUACCAUUGGUGGAUUGCUUGGAAAGAAGGACAGCAAGUUCCUCCUUCCUCAAUCAGGGUGAAAGAUUGCAGUUUCUAAACUACGCUUUGUCCUCUAUGCCCAUAUUCCAUCUUGGCAGUUUGUUAGUCCCCCCUAGAAUUUUAACAACUGGAGAGAAUCCAGAGACAAUGUCUAUGGAGAAAGCAUAGAGAUGAGCCCUCUCCAUCUUUAGCAGCAUGGGACCUGAUCUGUAGGCCUAAAAGCAAGGGGGGGUUAGGGAUUUUGAACUUGGGGGUCUAGAAUAUUGCUCUGUUGCUCAAGCAUAUGCAUAAGUUUUUGAGCAAGAUGGAUCUGCCAUGGGUAUCUCUUGUUUGGAAUACAUAUUAUCAUGGGAGGGUACCAGAGGGUACUGCCAGUUGUGGAUCUUUUUGGUGGAAAGAUAUAUGCAAAAUGCUGGAUCAUUUCAGAAACACAACUGGGGUGCAAAUUAACUCCGGAGAUUCAGUUCUGUUUUGUUCUGACAGAUGGAAGCUUGGUGAUUCUGUGACAACCUUGCAAUCAAGGUUUCCAAGGCAAUUUUCUUAUGUGUAAGAUCCAUGGAUAACUGUAGCUGAAGCCUUUCAAGCACAUGAUAUCUCAGAGAUGUUUCAUUUACCUUUGUCUGAACAGGCAUAUCAUGAAUAUAUGGCAAUUCAGGCAAUGAUAACCACUCACAACAGAGAUUUGGAUGCAAAUGAUAUAUGGUACUGGCAGGGGACAUGCAAUGCUUUUAAACCUAAGAUAUUCUAUUCCUUCAUGCAUUCUACCUUGUCAUUUAAUCCUCUACUGCUAUGGAUCUAGAAAUCAUCAUGCACAAUGAAAAUAAAAGUGUUUGCUUCGAUGUUGAUCAUGGACAGGCUUAUCACUAAAGAUAUGGAUAUGAGGCAUUGGCAUAUGGAUGAUGGGGUUAAUUGUGUUCUUUGUCCUCUGCUGACAAGGGAAACCAGAGGCCAUCUUAUCUUCCACUAUAAUUUUAGUGUGAGAGUCUGGAAUUAUCUUCAAAUCUGUUGGCCACAAGGAGAUGAUAUGAGCAACAUUGUGCUGCAAGCUAAACGAGAUUUUGCAAAACCUUUCUUCACUGAGGUGGUUUUUAUUUCCUACUGGAACAUCUGGAUAGUCAACAAUGCUAAGGUGUUCAGUCAUGAAAGGCCUAGCUUUAAUAAAUGGAGAAGUGCUUUCAUCCAUGAUAUUACUCUCAUGCAGCAUAGAAUCAAACAUGUCUUUAGAGAUGAGUUAUUGAGAUGGAUUUCUUUUCUGCCUCCUUAAGGUAUUGUCUUGUAGUUCACUAGUUUUUCAGUUCUCUAGUUUUUUACUUUACCACUUUGAUUACCUCUUGUAAUCCAUGUAAUUUGUAACUCUUUUUGGCAAUAAAGUUAAAGUGUUGUGGGGGGGGGGGGUUCCCUACAGUUUACAGUCAAAAAAUAAUAACAAUCUGAAUUAGAAGCUAGUAACAAUAGCCUGAAUUUUUCAGUGAAUCCCAAGUGAGGUGGUUGUUGUGUUGGAUAGAUGUGCCCUUGAUUGGAUACUUCAUAGAAAUUCAUCAGCAUAGACACAUAAUUCAAAAGAUCACCUUGGUAUAAUUCUAGUCGAAUAUCUUAACACACUUACUGCACUUGAACAAUAAGAUUUUCACAGAAGCCUGGAAAAUAGGCAUUUAGUUCUAAUACGAUCCUUAGAAAAAAACAAAUAUGGUAUCAACAUAAAACUUUUAUGCUCCUACUAAAUAAAUUGCUUUCCCUUACCUUUGACUUUAGACAUCGUAUUCUCCGUUCCAAAAGUGGCAUCUCAAAGCACUUACUACACUUGAACAAUGCGAUUUUCACGAAAGCCUGUAAAAUAGGGAUUUAGUUCUUAUAUGCUCCCUAGAAAAAGCAAAAAUGGUAUCAACAAAAAACCUUUAUGCUCCUACUGAAUAAAUUACUUUUCCUUACCUUUGAAUUUAGACCUCUUCUUCUCCGUUCCAAAAGUGGUAUCUUAACACACUUACUGUACUUGAACAAUAAUGAGAUUUUCGCAGAAGCCUGGAAAAUAGGCAUUUAGUUCUAAUAUUCUCCCUAGGAAAAACAAAAAUGAUAUCAACAGAAACCUUUUAUGCACCUAAUGAACAAAUUAUUUUUCUUUACCUUUGAUUCUAGAUUUCUUCUUCUCCGCUCCAAAAGUGGCAUCAUAAUGGACUUACUACACUUGAACAAUGAUAUUUUCACGGAACCUAUAAAAUAGGAAUUUAGUUCUAAUACGCUCCCUAGAAACGACGAAAAUGAUAUCAACAGAAACCUUUUAUGCUCGUACUGAAUAAAUUACUUUUCCUAACCUUUGAUUUUAGAUCCGUCUUCUCCGUUCCAAAAGUGGAGUCUUAACGCACUUAGUGCACUUGAACAAUAAGAUUUUCGUAGAAGCCUGGAAAAUAGGCAUUUAGUUCUAGUAUGCUCCCUAGGAAAAACAAAAAUGAUAUCAACAGAAACCUUUAUGCUCCUAGUGAAUAAAUUACUUUUUCUAUGUUUUAUUUUAGACCUCGUGUUCUCCGUUCCAAAAGUGGCAUCUUAACGCACUUAUUGCACUUGAACAAUGAGAUUUUCACAGAAGCCUCGAAAAUAGGCAUUUAGUUCUAAUAUGCUCCCUAGAAAAAACAAAUAUGGUAUCAAGACAAACCUUUUAUGCUCCUAAUGAGUAAAUUACUUUUCCUUACCUUGGAUUUUAGACCUCGUCUUCUCCGUUUCAAACGUGGCAUCUUAACGCGCUUACUGCACUUGAAUAAUGAGAUUUCCGCAGAAUCCUGGGUAACAUGCAUUUAGUUCUAAUUUGCUCCCUAUAAAAAAGGGUAUGAGUAGAAACCUUUUUUGCUCCUAGUGAAUAAAUUAAUUUUCCUUACCUUUCACUUUGGAUCUCGUCGUCUUAGUUCGAGAUGUAAAUGGAGCAUGGCCUAAUAGUUGGGCAGCGACUGUGGUUCGUCGGCAAUACGCGAAUGGUGUAGCGCGUAGGUGCCUUGGAAUACCACAGAUCUGAACUAAGAGGAAAACAUAGAUGAUGGAUCAUAAUUAUGAGGGCAAACAUAUCAAGAGAGUGGCGGUGGCAGAAGUGGGUGGAGGAGAAGAUAGUUAGAUCUAGAGAAUGUUCGUGGUUGCGGUGGAGGAGAAGAUUGUUUGGUCUAAAGAGUGGUGGUGGCGGCGAAGGGUGGAGGAGAAGAUUGUUAGGUCUAAAGAGUGGUGGUGGCGGUGAAGGGUGGAGGAGAAGAUGGUUAGAUCUAGAGAAUAUUGGUGGUUGAGGUUGGAGGAGAAGAUAAUUAGGUCUCGAGAGUGGUGGCGGCGGUGGGCGGGGGAGAAAAUAGUU